UUCGAGUCCAAGUUGAAUCGCAUAUAUAACUAAUCAACUGAUAUUGGAACUUGUUCUUACAUCUCCCUUAUGCAAUUUAAACAAUUCCUCCUAAUGACGUAACACACUAACUUUCCAGAUUUAAAAAAACUCCUCAAAAAACAAUGCAAGGAUGAAAUUGCCUUUUAUAAAACAUCAUCAAAUUUCUGAGCAAGACACCUCUCACCACUUCAAAUAAAAAUUUUGAGCGUAUCCAGGCUAGCUCUUUCUUCCUCGAAUUUGUCAAUUCUUAGUAUGACCGUGCAAUCGUAUGCAAAAAAACAGGGUUCUCACUGCCAAUGAAAAGAGACUAGGACUUAUGGGAUCCCCUUGACGCAUUCCUCUUUGCAAUUCUACCACUGGGUCUCCUUCGAUAUCAAUGAUUGAUUCUGCGCUGGGAAUUAUGUUUUUUAUUGCGUUGCAAUAUAAUUGUGGAAAUCUUAUAUUUUUCAUCUCACUCAAUAGAAAGGAACGUUCUAUAGAAUCGAAAGCUUUUUUAAAUCCAAGAAGAUAAAAGCAAAACUUGGGUUCUCUGCUUCGAGAAUUCUACAAUCGAUUGGAGAAGCAUUACUACAUCUUCCGUUUGCCUACCCUUUCUCAAACCAAACUGAGUAUCUGGGAGCACUCUUUCCAUUAUUGGUUUCAUACAUUCCGUCAGACAUCCACUGUAAAUUUUAUAUUCUAUUUCCAAUAAAGUUACUGGCCUCCAGUUUUGUAUUUUU
rnacentral:lncRNA from 1 species